GAUGAACGCUGGCGGCGUGCUUAACACAUGCAAGUCGAACGAAGCGCCUUAUUUGAUUUUCUUCGGAACUGAAGAUUUGGUGACUGAGUGGCGGACGGGUGAGUAACGCGUGGGUAACCUGCCCUGUACAGGGGGAUAACAAUCAGAAAUGACUGCUAAUACCGCAUAAGACCACAGCACCGCAUGGUGCAGGGGUAAAAACUCCGGUGGUACAGGAUGGACCCGCGUCUGAUUAGCUGGUUGGUGAGGUAACGGCUCACCAAGGCGACGAUCAGUAGCCGGCUUGAGAGAGUGAACGGCCACAUUGGGACUGAGACACGGCCCAAACUCCUACGGGAGGCAGCAGUGGGGAAUAUUGCACAAUGGGGGGAACCCUGAUGCAGCGACGCCGCGUGAGUGAAGAAGUAUUUCGGUAUGUAAAGCUCUAUCAGCAGGGAAGAAAAUGACG
rnacentral:rRNA from 1 species